rnacentral:misc_RNA from 1 species
AAAAAGAAGCCGUGUGGUAGUGGAGACACCAAGCGAACGGCGCGAGGUGGUCCAUUCACAAUCGGUCCGGUCUGACGAUCGCAAUGGGAUCUCGGCGGGCAUGGUCGGCGUGCUGGUCGUCGUCGCUAUCGCAUUGAUCACGAUGUUGGUGCUCUUCUGGAUGAGCACUCAACCCACAACUGACCCAACCGCCACGACUGCGGCGCAGCCAACCACAACAGUUGUCGAACAGCCUGCGCCUGUGCAACAGCCUCCAGUCAUCAUUCAACAACCGGCUCCGGUAACAACACAGCCGGCCCCGAUCAUCGUCACACCGCCGGCAGGUGGCAGCACCGCUAGCGGAACCGACCAAGCGCAGAACAUGGAUUCAACCAUUCAGAC